rnacentral:rRNA from 1 species
UCAAACCAAAGCUGGCGACCGGCGCACGGGUGAGUAACACGUAUCCAACCUGCCUCAUACUCGGGGAUAGCCUUUCGAAAGAAAGAUUAAUAUCCGAUAGCAUAUAUUUCCCGCAUGGGUUUUAUAUUAAAGAAAUUCGGUAUGAGAUGGGGAUGCGUUCCAUUAGUUUGUUGGGGGGUAACGGCCCACCAAGACUACGAUGGAUAGGGGUUCUGAGAGGAAGGUCCCCCACAUUGGAACUGAGACACGGUCCAA